UUUAUACUCCCUCCGUCCCAAAAUUCUUGUCUUAGAUUUGUCCAAAUACGGAUGUAUCAAAUUAUGCUUUAGUAUUAGGUACAUCCGUAUCUAGAUAAAUGUAAGACAAGAAUUUUGGGACGGAGGGAGUACUAC
rfam:Triticum aestivum genome assembly, contig: Triticum_aestivum_CS42_TGACv1_scaffold_643114_T_5AL-0.167542_7AS-0.102480